GAUGAACGCUAGCGGCAGGCCUAAUACAUGCAAGUCGAACGGGAUUAAGAGGCUUGCUUCUUAUGAGAGUGGCGCACGGGUGCGUAACACGUAUGCAACCUACCUUCAACUGGGGGAUAGCCUUCCGAAAGGGAGAUUAAUACCGCAUAAUAUAAUUGAGUGGCAUCACUUGAUUAUCAAACGUCAGGGUUGAAGAUGGGCAUGCGUCCGAUUAGUUUGUUGGUGAGGUAACGGCUCACCAAGACUACGAUGUGUAGGGGAUCUGAGAGGAUGGCCCCCCACACUGGUACUGAGACACGGACCAGACUCCUACGGGAGGCAGCAGUAAGGAAUAUUGGUCAAUGGACGGAAGUCUGAACCAGCCAUGCCGCGUGCAAGGAGACGGUCCUCUGGAUUGUAAACUGCUUUUGUUAGGGAAGAAACUUCCGUACGUGUACGGGACUGACGGUACCUAAAGAAUAAGGAUCGGCUAACUCCGUGCCAGCAGCCGCGGUAAGAC
rnacentral:rRNA from 1 species